AGCGAACGCUGGCGGCAGGCCUAACACAUGCAAGUCGAACGAAGCCUUCGGGCUUAGUGGCGGACGGGUGAGUAACACGUGGGAACGUACCUUUUGGUUCGGAAUAACGCAGAGAAAUUUGCGCUAAUACCGAAUGAGCCCUUCGGGGGAAAGAUUUAUCGCCGAAAGAUCGGCCCGCGUUGGAUUAGGUAGUUGGUGUGGUAAAGGCGCACCAAGCCUACGAUCCAUAGCUGGUCUGAGAGGAUGAUCAGCCACACUGGGACUGAGACACGGCCCAGGCUCCUACGGGAGGCAGCAGUGGGGAAUCUUGCGCAAUGGGCGAAAGCCUGACGCAGCCAUGCCGCGUGAAUGAUGAAGGUCUUAGGGUUGUAAAGCUCUUUCGUCAGGGAAGAUAAUGACGGUACCUGAAGAAGAAGCCCCGGCUAACUUCGUGCCAGCAGCCGCUGUAAAAC
rnacentral:rRNA from 1 species